rnacentral:piRNA from 1 species
UGUAAGUGGUAAGACAUGCCACCCUGUG